UAACGCGUGGGUAACCUGCCUCAUACAGGGGGAUAACAGUUAGAAAUGGCUGCUAAUACCGCAUAAGACCACAGUACUGCAUGGUACAGUGGUAAAAACUCCGGUGGUAUGAGAUGGACCCGCGUCUGAUUAGGUAGUUGGUGAGGUAACGGCCCACCAAGCCGACGAUCAGUAGCCGACCUGAGAGGGUGACCGGCCACAUUGGGACUGAGACACGGCCCAGACUCCUACGGGAGGCAGCAGUGGGGAAUAUUGCACAAUGGGGGAAACCCUGAUGCAGCGACGCCGCGUGAAGGAAGAAGUAUCUCGGUAUGUAAACUUCUAUCAGCAGGGAAGAAAAUGACGGUACCUGACUAAGAAGCCCCGGCUAACUACGUGCCAGCAGCCGCGGUAAUACGUAGGGGGCAAGCGUUAUCCGGAUUUACUGGGUGUAAAGGGAGCGUAGACGGAUGGACAAGUCUGAUGUGAAAGGCUGGGGCUCAACCCCGGGACUGCAUUGGAAACUGCCCGUCUUGAGUGCCGGAGAGGUAAGCGGAAUUCCUAGUGUAGCGGUGAAAUGCGUAGAUAUUAGGAGGAACACCAGUGGCGAAGGCGGCUUACUGG
rnacentral:rRNA from 1 species